rfam:Pteropus alecto contig45091, whole genome shotgun sequence.
GUCUACAGCCAUGCCACCCUGAACAACCCCGAUGUCCGAUCUUGGAAGCUAAGCAGCGUCGGGCCUGGUUAGUACUUGGAUGGGAGACCAUCUAGGAAGACCAGGUGCUAUAGGCA